GUUUUAACACGAAGUAAAACAGAAAGGGCACUACUGAAAAAACAGAAUCCCGUCCGUCCUUUCAGGGGAAGGAAAUUGGCUUGCAAACCUCACUCUUCUCUCUCUGUUUGCCUCAGAUUCUACCUGUUUAGAUUUCAGACUGGCCCUGGAUCUUGGGCUACAAUAUAGGGCCCAUCAUCACCCUAAGAACAGAGCUGACAGGUUUAAGGGUGAUGCAGCUUGGGGAGGCCUGCACACUGAAGCAGGGCAAGGAAGAACCAAGCUAUUCCUAGAUUAGGCUGGGCAGAAACUGAGCAGGCCCUCAGGAAUAAAGGACAGGCAUAUUCACGGUGAGCGUGCAGAGGGUACCUGCAGAUGCCCAGCUGCUUAUCAACCUGGGGAAUAGGCUGCAGGUCCUGCAGGUGUUACAGGUUGGAAUGUAAGAUGGUUCGGCUGCUGUGAAGAAUGCUGUAUGACAAUCAACAUGUUUACUGUGGACCUACCACAGGACCAGUCAUUCUCUCUGUGGAUAUUACAGCCAUGGCAUAGAAGUGCUGUUUCAAACAGUCAAAAGACAAGAGUCAGGGAAGUGACUGCCAAUGUACAAAAGAUGAACUGCACAUUUAAAAGAAAGCUUUUAAAUGAUGGGGCCAGAGAUGGCUCAGUAGUGAAAAGUGCUUCCAACUCUUGCAGAGAACCUGAUUUUGGUUCCUGGCACCCACACGGCAGCUCACAACCACCUGUAAUUCCAGUUCCCAGGGAACUAGUGCCAUCUCCACAGAUACCACGCAUACACAGGUUGCACAUAACAUACAUGCAGGCAAACACUUAAACACAUAAAAAUAAAAUAAAAAAGAUACAUCUUUUAAAA